AUAGAUGCACUAACCAUGCACACAUCUGCUACUGAUCUUAUUUUUUUAGAUGUUUCUCCAUUCCUGUAAAUUUCUGAAUAUUGUGAGAACUCGAUAAAUGGAACGGAGGUGUGGUCAGCCGAUCCCUCCCAUCACUGAAAUCUUGUCUUCUGAAUUUCAGUCACUUUUUGCUGCAUUUUCAGAACUGUGGAGUUAAUAAUUUUUGUCCAUGAUCCAAGCUGCUUGCUGUCACUUAAAAACUAUCAAAUCUGAUCCCUGGAUCCCAGAGCCACUUCAAAACUGGAUGUUUUGUGUCCUUUAUGUGAAGAAAAUGAUUGCAGUGCUGGUGCUUCUCAUCAUGAAACCAGGUAAGGAGAGAGUCUUUUUCAAUUUACCUUUCAAAACAAAACAUGGGAUUGUGUUUGGACAGUCUUUCUCUUCAUUAAAUUGAUUGUUUGUUUGAUGGAUACACACAUAUAAUGACCCUUCAGAACCUAAAUGAUAUAAGGAAAAAUGAAAUGAGAUAAAUUAAGGGAAUGAUUUACACAAGUUCACACAUUUUGAAACCUAACCCAACCAUUUUUUUCGUGGUUUCAGUCACGGUUUCAGUUGCUAAGAAAAGCCGCAAAAAACUAAUUUGUUUAAUGCAGCAGUGAAGAGCAGUAUUGGGAAUUAGUGGCCUGAGUUACAGCUUAAAGUGUCAUAUUGCAAAACUUUUAGGUGAUUGCAGUUUGCUCGGGCUGGCAAACAGAAAAAACAUGCAAACAGUGAAAAAAACAUCAGGCGCAGAAUUGAACACCCGUCAAAGACCCAGUAUUACAGUUGAGUAUGAAUGAACACUUGUUUGCAUUAAAGCUGCAGACAGAACUGUUUCUAAAUAGCAUAUUAAAGAGACUGUCCUCACUUUGAUUCAUGUAGGUAAAACCAUGAACAACCAAUCAGUUUCUCAGUGAUAACAAAGAAUCAAUACAAACUUGACUAAACUUUGAUAAAGAAGUCGAUGCAUGUCUGCUGUGGGGUAAAGAUGAGUAAAGACAGGCUCUUCCACAGAAGUAUUAAUGCAGAUUUAACAGUGACUUUAGUUAUCUGACCCAGUUUUUCUUCAUUUAAAUGGCUUGUUAUAGAUUCAAGUAGAAUUAGCUUUAUCUGACGUGACAGAGGUCAGUCAAUAAUUAAUCUGGAAGGAGUGAGGCGGUUAUUUGAAUUAGUGUUUCAUUAUUUGCAUGCUGGACAGCUUGUUUUAGGUGCAGCAGGAACUAACAUUAACUGCUGGUCUAGUAGUAACAUUUCAUUAGUAGCAUUAGUAGCAGGCAUUGAUCCCACUUCCUCUCACAUAAUAAGCAAGUGCUCUACCAUUUGAGCUAACCCCCCAUUCAGGGAUUCAUUGGGAUGCCGUAUUCUCCAUUUUUUUCUGUAUGAAAGAUAGGUGGACAUGGCCAUGUUGGGGCCCAUACAGUAUCUGUUCUUUAAUUGGACAUCUAUUAACAACAAAACAUUAAAAUUGAGCAUAAAGACUUUAGUUUACAUUAAAGCUGCAGACAGAACAGUGUCCAAAUGCAUUUUACAAUGACUGUAGUCACUUUACACUUUAGUUAUCAGCGGACAAGAAGUAGAUUCCUUGGCAUUCACAUUAUCAAGGAUCUGACAUGAACACUAAACACUUCCAACCUGGUGACAAAAACCCAGCAGAGUUGAGGAUGUUGAAACAGGCAGGUCUGGCUCCACAACUGCUUAGAAACUUCUACAGAAGCACCAUCGAGAACAACCUCUGCCAGGACUGCAUGAGGUGGUGCAGUGGCUUCACAGCAAAAGAUAGGAAAGAUUUGUCCUCGGUGGUAAAGGUGGCACAGAGAAUCAUGGGAGCUGAGCUCCCGGAUUUGGACUCUAUGUAUGCUAAGCACAUGCAGAGAAAUGCAUGGGCCAUCUGCAUGGACAUCAGCAACCCAGGACACACAUUGUUUGUUCCAUUGCCAUUGGGGAGGAGGUACCACACCAUUAAAACACAGACCAACAGGAUGAGGAACAACUUCUUCCCCAGAGCUGUAGCCUCCAUUACAACACCUCCCUCCUAGAGCUGGAACUCUUCUGAUAAUUAGAGGACAUUUGGGCCUCAAAAUAUUUGAAAAAUAAACCGUCUCUUUCACAAUUUUCUGCUGCUUAUUCAUCUAUAACAGGUAAUUAACUAUCAAAGGCUUGAUUAGCUCAGCUUACACAUCAAUGGUACAAUUUUUAUUCCAUAUUUUAUCUGUUGUUUGCUAACCCUACUCUGCAACGGGGUUGCUAAUUCAUGCUAAAGUUAGCUUUUUCUCAGGGCUAGAAGCUAGAUAUUUAUCUAGUUGUUACUGCUGACCAAGACCGCUUACUUAUGAAAAAUAGUAAAGAAAAAAGUAAAAAGAAUUUGUCUUGAGAGGACAUAGCUUUGCGCUACCCAUUCUUUUGGAAAACUGUUUGAUGAUGUUAAUUCCAGUGUUUCAUGUGAUUCACUAUUUUUUUUUCUACCAGCUGAAAAGGUUAUGCUAACAGGGUUGCUGUGGGCCACACAUUCUCUGCAUAAUAAUAAUUAUUUUAAAUAUUAUGUUGAUUUAAAAAUGUUCCCACUAUUACAAGAGACAUCAAUGAAAAAACAAUACCAAAAAGUGAGAUUUCACUUGAACUAUUUUAUUUGAGGUUCAAUUUGGUCAUCAGGGGUGUGGCACAAGAGACAAAUUGUAUUUUAGGGGAACACCAGACUUAUUUGGUAUUUUAAAAAAUAUUGUCAAAUGUUCCUUUCUCCUUUUUUUUUAGAUUUGGUCUCAGGACAAGUAAACUCACACAAUAACUGCAUGUUUUUGCAUUUUGUACUUGGAUUAUUUGAAAUUUCAUUGGUGGGACCUUUGAUGUCCUCCAUUUCUGGAAUGCCUCCUCUUUCCUUGUUUUCUUUUCAACACAGAAGUAUGAAUGCAUCUUUAACAUUAAUGUAGUGAUUUGAAUUAGUGUUUCCCUAUGUGAAAGCUGGAUGUUCUGUUGUAAGUGCAAGGAAAACUAACUUCAUCUGCUACUACAGAAAUAGCAAUGAAACUGGAGGAUGCGGGAAUCGACCCCGCUACCUCUCACUUGCGCCUGCUGCACUCUGCUGUUAGAGCAAAGUAAGCCCAAAGUAAGCCCGAAGUAAGCCCAAAGUAAGCCCAAGCCAGCCAAUCAGCGCACGACCUCAUGUUCCGUGGGGCCAAUCACGUCCCGAGCCUGUGGGCUUACUUUUGACCAAUCACGUUCCAUCUCCUGGAUCCUUUUUAAGCUCUCGGAGGAAAAUGAUAAACAGUCAUCCACAGCUGUCAGGACUAUCUUUUAGCAAGCGGUAAGUUUAAACAUAUUCUCUUUUUCAACAGCUAAAUGUGUCUUAGACAUUAACUGUAUUUUGUUGUUGUUAGCGUGACAUGUUUAUUGCGAAAAACAGCACUUUGGUAAUGCGUAGUGUGACGUUGAUGCUCCCUAUUAUACUUCAGUGAACUUGUUUAUUAGAAAUAUUGGGUACACAACAAAGACAGCACAUAAUACCGACUUUUCUGUGAUGUACAUCUCCCUUUCACUUGUUGGUUCAGAGUACGUAUAUAGCGCUCGGGGAGUAGCUAACGUAAGUUUAUAGUGAUCUCGUCAUAAUAAUGCUUGUUAUCGUAAAGUAAUCUGGCGAGUCUUGCCAUCAUAAUCACGUAAUAAUACUUCUACAAAAAUGUGUGCUCUGUGGAGGUUCUGGCCAGCUAAAUAUAUUACGUUUUAGAGCCGUUUUAUGAUGGUAAUUUUAUGAAGUAUCAUAAAUGCCAGCCUAAAACCUCUUAUUCAUUGUGUGCACCCCAGUAUAAUUAUGGGAUCACCUGCCAUAAAAUGACGAUUUGUACAUGGUAUUACACCAACAAGAGUAUACCAACAAGUGUUAUUGUUUUGACAAUUAACAAAGUUAUCACAAAGUUAUCUGGCUGUCUAAUGGUAGAGUUUGGCAACUUCAGGGCAGGUCCAUGAAGGAGGUGCAUGAGGACCAAAGCAAGGAAGCCCAGGCUCUCAUCACCUACCUGAAAAAGGCAAGAGCCAGACCAAACACCAACAUGGCCCUCUUCAAAGCAUAUGUGCUGAAGAGGCAGGCUUCGGCUCCAGUCCCUGUGCCUAACACCACUGCCACUGCACCUGCCCCCACUGCUGCUGUGUCUGCUGCUGCCACCAUGCCCACUGCCACUGUGUCUGUUCCUCCUCUACCUGCUGCAACUCAGAGCAGGCUCCAGGUUGCUGCCACUGUGAAGACCCUGCUGGUGCGUGGGUAGCAUUUGUCUGCUUCACAGCUGGCACAAAAAAUAUUGUCUCCAGCCAAACCCUCUGCAGUGCCACGUUGCCCCCCUUCGUCACAGUCCACAGCCCGGAGACGGCUCUUUACCUGUGACACUGCUGCUGGGUAUUUUUUUUUGAGGAGGAAGACGACCAGGAGAUGGUGAUGGUGGCCUCACAGGCUGAGGAACAACUUCCUCAAGAGAAAUGGCAUUUAUCAAGUGUCAAGCUACAUUUGCUCUUUGACUGCACUUCAUCAAAGCAAAAAGGGAACUUAAACGUCCACUGCUGCCUCAAGAGGGCCUGCUCGCGCCCCUGUUCCUGCCCUGGCCCCGGCCCCUGCUCCUCCAGCUGUGUGGACUCCUGGCCCGGUGGUCCAUCCCCCUGCAGAGCUUCCUGUCCACUGGAAUGAGCACCUCCCAUCAUUCCAGCGAGACUGGAUCAGGAAGACUCUGUUCAGGGCCAACGCUAAAACAGGGAAGCCAGAGCUGAUGCCACAUCCCAACUUCUGGUGUUACCCUCCCCAGCCCCUGACCAUCUUCACUCAGCCUCCUGCCUCUCCAGACCUCUUCUUCUGCCGCCCUCUGUUCCUCUGGAUGCCCCUGAAGGUGUGGUCCAUCCCACUCGUCUGUGUCCAGCCAGCCUGCAACAACCACAAGUUGACAGCUGCUGGGCUCUACCGCACUGUGCGCAAGGUCCUGGACAUAGAUGGGUGGUAUGACAUGGCCUCUGUGUCUGUGUCCCGCUUCACACAGAGGAACAGGCAACACUGGGCAGAAGAGGAGGCCAGUGGAGCCCACAAAAGAAAGUAUGUGCGUAAAGUGGUAUUCGACAAGUGCACCAAGUGUGGGCAGCCCAAAACAAAAGAGUUUGGCCAUAGCCGCUUCGGGAGUGCCACUUUUUGCCCCAGUUUCUCAGGUGGCAAAUCUUUAGAGUGGCUGGCAGAACAGCACCAGCAGAAGAAACCAGGAAACCCACCCCCUAAUCUGGAGGUGGACACACACUUGUAAAUACUUUAUAUUAGACUGUGUAAAUAUGUAAAUACAUCUUUAUACUUACCUCAGCUGCAACAGUAACUAAUCAAUGUCCGAAUGUAAAUAAUUUUAAUUAAUACAUGUAAAUAAAUCUUUACCUCAGCUGCUACACUAACCAAUCUAUGCCAAUGAAAUGUAAAUACCAUUUUACUUACCCAAGACCUGUAUAGCCAUCAGUGCUAAUAAUAAACAUGCAAGUACACCUUUAUACUUACAUCAGUGCUACAGUAACUAAUCUAUGCCAAAAGAAAUCUAUUAUAAAUAUCAUAUCUAUGUGUAAAUACUGUUGAUAUUUUUUAUGUGUAUAUAGUUGUAUGUCUUUAUUUCAUUUGUAUUACUCAGUAUACUGUAUUAUAUUUCCACAUUGUUUAUUGUUGUUUAUCAGUGGAAGUGUGUUAUGUCUUUACCCAGAUAUCAAACUAUGGGUGAAUCAAUGUUGAAUCUAUGUUGAGACCUAAAGUAGAAAUUAUACAGAAAGCGCAAGGUUGAUAAAAUGUUGAGUCAACGUUUGCUUACAUAGCUCACAUGUUUGCAAACAUAGAUUCAACAUUAAUUAAACAUUGACCUGUCAAACAUUUUAAUUAAACCAAAAUACAAUGUAGAUUCAAUGGUAUCUUUUAAACACAAACUUCAAUGUUGACAAAAUGUUGUUGAAUCAACGUUGAUCCAACCAUCAAUCUCCAACCGUAACCAAAAUUCAACCUUCUUAAACCCUAAUUCAACAUCGAUUUAACAUCUUUUGCUAUUUGGGUAAAGUGUGGUUUAUGGUUGAAAAGCAAACGCUGACUCAACAUUUUAUCAACCUUGCGCUUUCUGUAUAAUUUCUACGUUAGGUCUCAACAUAGAUUCAACAUUGAUUCACCCAUAGUUUGCUAUCUGGGUACUUUGUUUUUGUAAAAAAAAAAUGCUGUUCAAAGAUUCCUAUUCAUCGCUUUGAUUUUUAUUGCCUGAAGACUGGAGUGUGCAGUGUUUACUUAACUGAGGUCAGGGGCACUGUAAAUCACAGCAGCUUGUCUUUGAACACUAGGCUCCUGGGGGUCAGAGGAAGGUCAGGGCAGGUGCAUGCUCCUCAUAUGAACCAUGACUCAGGUUCAUUCAGAGGCUAUUACAAAUACAUUUACACUAUUGUUACAUUAAUAACAAAUAGUAGGCUCAAAUAAAUAAAUUAUAAUAAAAAUAUGUAUGCUUCAAGUUGGCUAAACAGUAAUUAUAUCUCAUUUUACACUAUUUGCAUUGUGCACAGUCACUUUUCUAGGCCUAGCACACAUUAUAUAGACUUUAUUGCCAAAUAAACAUUGUAUUUAUACAAAUAAAGGUUUGGAAACAGAGUUUGUCAAAACAGUGUAACAUUGUUAAACAAUCCAGGAAGCAAAUAUAUCUGGCAUAGCUUUAAUGUUAUGGAUGAAAGAAUCUGCUCUAUUGGGUGGGACUAUAUAAUAGAUACAAUGUCGCGGAAGAAUGGCACUCGCGUCUGCUUAAAACAAGGAUCGUGAGAUCGCAACAGAUUCUGGUAUACACGUUGUUUUUAAUCUCUGAACCGUAGUAUGCUCAAAUGCUACUGGAGCAUCCUCCAUUCACUUCACAUUCAGAAGAUUGGGCCCCGUCUUUUGUGACGUUGUGUUUUUGAUUUUGGUGGUUCAACAAUAUGGACACAGUCAUGUUGGUUCCCAUAACAGAAUAUUAAUGAGGUACAGCAGACUAUUCUCCAGUGAUGGAAGGUCUGAAUAUGCAAGCUAAGUGACUGCUUGGUGACCAUUGCACAAAAUUUAGAAGCUUGAGGCAGAAAUUUCUAGGAGUUGUUGGAGACCAAAACAAGCCAGCAACCAAGGGAAUACCAGUAAAAACCAAUAUUGAACAGAUAGCUGGGGACAAUUCCUGACGAGGUCGCCUUGUCAGUGUACCAGGUUGUAACAUGCCAAUGCUGUGAUAAUAACUAGAAUCCACAAGUACACCAAUUUACACAGCAGCACUCAACCACAACCCACUUUAAAUCCAUGGCAGGAUUUUCUCAUCUGAUUACUUUUCACACUUUAAUUAAUUUUGCAGUAAAAUUAUUGUUCCAGAAUGGUUUGAUUCCUGAUAAAACUAAUAAAAUGCAUUGUUUGACAUGUUCUCUCAACAGGAUCUCUGAGUGCUGAUUGGUUUGUGACUUUUGAAAACCCAAAUACCUGUGCUGUGAAGGGAUCAUCGGUGGAGUUUGGGUGUUCGUACAACUAUCCAGACAUGGAAAUUGUUAGAAAUAUUGCGUGGUACAAGGGAAAAUUGAUUGAUGGCGAGUGGAAACGUAUUGCCCUUUCAGACAUUCCAUCAUAUCAGAAUCGUUCUGAAUAUCUCGGUGACCUGCAGCACAACUGCAGCCUGGAAAUCCAUGACCUGCAGGAUGACGACGCUGGAUAUUACUACUUUAGGUUUGACACGGAUAGAUAUGGAAGACGUAGCAAAGGAUCUGUGUAUCUGACUGUUACAGAGCUGAAAGCCAGAGUGAAUCCAAAGAGAGUGAGAGCAGGAGACGCCGUGACUCUUGAAUGUGAAGCAUCCUGUUCACUUCCCACCACAGUCUGGUUCAAAGAAGGACAUCCAGUGUCAAAACCAAAUUUCAUGGCUCAAGCAGAGGAUGCUGGGAAUUAUUUAUGUGCUGUUGAAGGAAAGGAGUCAGUGCAAUCAGACCCUGUGACUCUGGAUGUUCAGUACAGACUCUCCAUUGAAUGUGUCUGUUGAGGUGAGUCAUGCUGGCCUCCUGGCGGUGGGCAGCAGUGUCAAUCUGACCUGCAGCAGUGCAGCCAACCCUGCUGCAGACAGCUACACCUGGUACAGGAGUACUGGAUCCAGCUCAGUGCUCCAGGUGGGGUCAGGACAGGUGCUGUGUCUUCCCUCCGUGGAUUUGUCCCAUUCUGGACUCUACGUCUGUCAAAGCAGGAACCGUCUGGGAGAAAACAACUCAACUCAGGUGCUGCUAACAGUGACAGGAACAGACAUUCACCGUCUCAUCCUCCUUGUCGGGAUUGGAGUGAAGGUGGUUAUUCUGCUGUUGCUUCCACUGUUUAUAAUCUGGGCUUGGAAGCGAUGGCGUAAUUCUACUGCAGACGACACAGAGAGUCAUGAUUAUGAAAACGUCUAAACGACAAGCAAAAGGCAGAAAUAAGCAAGAGGAAGGAAACUAGAGAAGCACGAAGACCUUCCAUCACAAUAGAUAGGUGACGUGGCACACUGACAGUAGAAUGUGUGUGGUUUGUUUGCUGCUGGAAGCUUAACUGGGUUCAGUGAAAAACAGUAAAAGUUAAGCUGAACGUUUGCCAGUGUUAAUGCUCUGUCCUGAAGUUUCUCUGUACCACUAGAGAAAGAAUGAUCAGGGACUGUAAGAAAAAAUGACUGAUGUUUAUUUCACAGAUUAAACAUCCAGAAUUUGUAUUUAAUUAUUUUUAUUUUAUUUUUUUUAAAAAUCCAGAAGUAAUUAUCACAAAGUAGUUCCUUCUGGUAAAUGAUUUGCUGCCGUUGCUGACUGGAUCCAGAAUCUCUGAGGUUAAACCAGGAUAUGCUGCCCCCUUGAGUUUAAAAUAAGCACUUGCAAGCUUUUUCAUGGCUGUGUUGAAAGGGCCAGUUAAGAUUUCUAUUUCAGAAUAUUUAGUUUUUUUAAUCGUAACAGAAAUAAAUUUUGGAAAAAUGUGGGCAGCUGUUAAUAACUGUACAAAUUCUGUUUUAUAUGGCAUAUUGUCAUGAUCUAUAGACUGUCUGCAGUACUGUUUUGUUCAUUUUUGUGUUUUUAUGCCACUAUCAGGUUUUGAUAUGCAAUAAAUAGUCUUAUGUACAAAUUAAGUUUGCACUUGAACAGUUUUGCAAAUCUUGACAUUACUUUUAUAUGUAUCUCAGUCAGAUGAUGAAUUUUUAUAUUAGAAGCUGACUGAGCAUGAUGGAAAUACAUACAGGAUUAUUCAAAAAGAAUGAACCGACUUCAUUCCACAACAUUUUAAUAAGGAAAAGCAAUAGAACACUCCAGCCAAGUUACAAGUAUUCUUCUCAGAAUCAACUUUUAUUUGAUGUUUAAGGUCAUUGAAUGACAUGGAAUAACAACAGCAUAUCAUGAUCAGUGGAUGCUGAUAGGCGUCUGGAAGGAAUUCUCUCAUCGCAUUGAUGUUGCCCGUGCUGCAGGUGGUGGCCACAUUAAACACUGGUAAGACAGGAAAUAAAAGUUGAUUGUAAGUAGAAUACUUGUGACUUGGCU